AUUGAACGCUGGCGGCAUGCUUUACACAUGCAAGUCGAACGGUAACAGGCCGCAAGGUGCUGACGAGUGGCGAACGGGUGAGUAAUGCAUCGGAACGUGCCCAGUCGUGGGGGAUAACGCAGCGAAAGCUGCGCUAAUACCGCAUACGAUCUAUGGAUGAAAGCGGGGGACCGUAAGGCCUCGCGCGAUUGGAGCGGCCGAUGUCAGAUUAGGUAGUUGGUGGGGUAAAGGCUCACCAAGCCGACGAUCUGUAGCUGGUCUGAGAGGACGACCAGCCACACUGGGACUGAGACACGGCCAAGACUCCUACGGGAGGCAGCAGUGGGGAAUUUUGGACAAUGGGCGCAAGCCUGAUCCAGCAAUGCCGCGUGCAGGAAGAAGGCCUUCGGGUUGUAAACUGCUUUUGUACGGAACGAAAGGGCUCUGGUUAAUACCUGGGGCUCAUGACGGAACCGUAAGAAUAAGCACCGGCUAACUACGUGCCAGCAGCCGCCGUAACAC
rnacentral:rRNA from 1 species